UAGCAUAUCAAUAAGCGGAGGAAAAGAAACCAACAGGGAUUGCCCCAGUAACGGCGAGUGAAGCGGCAACAGCUCAAAUUUGAAAUCUGGUCCCUAGGGCCCGAGUUGUAAUUUGUAGAGGAUGCUUUUGGUGAGGUGCCGCCCGAGUUCCCUGGAACGGGACGCCACAGAGGGUGAGAGCCCCGUCUGGCUGGCCGCCGAGCCUCUGUAAAGCUCCUUCGACGAGUCGAGUAGUUUGGGAAUGCUGCUCAAAAUGGGAGGUAUAUGUCUUCUAAAGCUAAAUAUUGGCCAGAGACCGAUAGCGCACAAGUAGAGUGAUCGAAAGAUGAAAAGCACCUUGAAAAGAGGGUUAAAUAGUACGUGAAAUUGUUGAAAGGGAAGCGCUUGUGACCAGACUUGGGCGCGGCGGAUCAUCCGGGGUUCUCUCCGGUGCACUUCGCCGCGUCUAGGCCAGCAUCAGUUCGUCGCGGGGGAAAAAGGCUUCGGGAACGUGGCUCCUCCGGGAGUGUUAUAGCCCGUUGCAUAAUACCCUGCGGUGGACUGAGGACCGCGCAUCUGCAAGGAUGCUGGCGUAAUGGUCACCAGCGACCCGUCUUGAAACACGGACCAAGGAGUCGUCUUCGUAUGCGAGUGUUCGGGUGUCAAACCCCUACGCGUAAUGAAAGUGAACGCAGGUGAGAGCUUCGGCGCAUCAUCGACCGAUCCUGAUGUUCUCGGAUGGAUUUGAGUAAGAGCAUACGGGGCCGGACCCGAAAGAAGGUGAACUAUGCCUGUAUAGGGUGAAGCCAGAGGAAACUCUGGUGGAGGCUCGCAGCGGUUCUGACGUGCAAAUCGAUCGUCAAAUAUGGGCAUGGGGGCGAAAGACUAAUCGAACCUUCUAGUAGCUGGUU
rnacentral:rRNA from 1 species